rnacentral:rRNA from 1 species
AGCGUAGGCGGACAUUUAAGUCAGGGGUGAAAUCCCGGGGCUCAACCUCGGAAUUGCCUCUGAUACUGGGUGUCUUGAGUAUGAGAGAGGUGUGCGGAACUCCGAGUGUAGAGGUGAAAUUCGUAGAUAUUCGGAAGAACACCAGUGGCGAAGGCGACACACUGGCUCAUUACUGACGCUGAGGCUCGAAAGCGUGGGGAGCAAACA